UGCAAGUCGGGCGGAACGAUGGGAGCUUGCUCCCAGGCGUCGAGCGGCGAACGGGUGAGUAACGCGUAGGAAUCUGCCUGGUAGAGGGGGAUAGCUCGGGGAAACUCGAAUUAAUACCGCAUACGCCCUACGGGGGAAAGCAGGGGAUCUUCGGACCUUGCGCUAUCAGAUGAGCCUGCGUCGGAUUAGCUAGUUGGUGGGGUAAAGGCCCACCAAGGCGACGAUCCGUAACUGGUCUGAGAGGAUGAUCAGUCACACCGGAACUGAGACACGGUCCGGACUCCUACGGGAGGCAGCAGUGGGGAAUAUUGGACAAUGGGGGCAACCCUGAUCCAGCCAUGCCGCGUGUGUGAAGAAGGCCUUCGGGUUGUAAAGCACUUUAAGCAGGGAGGAAAGGGGCAGGACUAAUAAUCCUGUCAGUUGACGUUACCUGCAGAAUAAGCACCGGCUAACUUCGUGCCAGCAGCCGCGGUAAUACGAAGGGUGCAAGCGUUAAUCGGAAUUACUGGGCGUAAAGCGCGCGUAGGCGGUUUGGUUAGUUGGAUGUGAAAGCCCAGGGCUCAACCUUGGAACUGCAUCCAAUACUGCCAGGCUAGAGUACGGGAGAGGGGGGUAGAAUUCCACGUGUAGCGGUGAAAUGCGUAGAGAUGUGGAGGAAUACCGGUGGCGAAGGCGGCCCCCUGGAUCGAUACUGACGCUGAGGUGCGAAAGCGUGGGGAGCAAACAGGAUUAGAUACCCUGGUAGUCCACGCCGUAAACGAUGUCAACUAGCCGUUGGGAGCGUAAUGCUCUGAGUGGCGCAGCUAACGCACUAAGUUGACCGCCUGGGGAGUACGGUCGCAAGAUUAAAACUCAAAUGAAUUGACGGGGGCCCGCACAAGCGGUGGAGCAUGUG
rnacentral:rRNA from 1 species